UCGCGGCGGUGUGCGCAGAAGGGUCUGGGCUCGAGCCUGCCUGGAGCCGCCGCCGGUGCAGAUCUUGGUGGUAGU
rnacentral:rRNA from 1 species